rnacentral:rRNA from 1 species
UACGUAGGGCGCAAGCGUUAUCCGGAAUUAUUGGGCGUAAAGAGCUCGUAGGCGGGCAGGUAAGUCCGUGGUGAAAUCUCUGAGCUUAACUCAGAAACUGCCAAUGGAUACUAUUUGUUCUUGAAUAUUUGUGGAGGUAAGCGGAAUAUGUCAUGUAGCGGUGAAAUGCUUAGAUAUGACAUAGAACACCAAUUGCGAAAGGCAGCUUACUACACAGUUAU